rnacentral:misc_RNA from 1 species
UCUCCGUAGGUGAACCUGCGGAGGGAUCAUUAACACGUUCCAAACCCCAACUACUAUCAACCCAACUGUGAAGCUUUGUAUCUGCCGAUAGUCGCCUCGAGCUUGACGGUGCGAGCUGAGAUCCAGGAUGAAGGUGAAAGGAAAGAGAGCGAUCUCUCCCUUUCAUACGGGUCGAGCACGCUACAUGGUAUGGUGGCCUUCCCCCUGUCUCUCUGAUGAGCGGAGGAGCUGCCAGCUGUCCUCGGGGAUGACUUGGCCCAACCUAUAUACGAACAGCAGCGAGUCAUCGGCUGCUGCGCGUAUAUCCACACGACACUUUUUCCUCUCUUCACCCUAUAUAUACAUAUACAGAGUGAGGAGCGGAAAGAAUGACUACUAACCUUUUUCAUGACCUCCACCUCUCUCUGUGUGGUGGUCUUUCUCUCACUGACCUCUAUCUCUAUAUAUGUCAGUGCAGUGAUAUGAAACUUGAGUACAACUCUUAGCAAUGGAUAUCUUGGUUCUG